UGCGGCAGUUCUCUUGUUUUCCACUGCAGUACUGCGGGCUACUUCACCCUCGCUGUGGUUCUGAUCCAUGUCAGCCAUCAGCGCAACAAUCCCCCAGGAGACGUCCCUCGUUGAUGACAUCAUCUCUCAGCGUGGGGAGUUGAUGGAUCCCUCGCCAUUUUGGUGCCCGUGGUUUUUGAUGAAGUGGCGAGCAGGGCCGGCUGCUGGCUGGAUGAUGAAUGUGCUGCUCCUUCCGUGUGUCCUCCCUUUGUUAAUAGAGUGAUAGAGCCACAGUGGCACCCUGCGCUCGCCACCCCUCCUUUCAGCUGCAGGACCCAGGAAGUGGUCAUAAAUAGGCACAUAAAGCCACAAAGCCCUUGGCAUUGGAGCAGGGUCAGAGGAGCUUUGUAAUUUUUACCCUCAUUACAAAAGCUGGAACUGUUUUCGCACCGCGCCGCCCUUGGGAUGAAGUCCCUCCGCCUUAAUGUGAGGCUCACUUAGAAAGAAAACAAGAAAAUGAUGACUUACAGUGCUCUGACAACCCGACUCUGUUGUGGGAUGAGAUGAUUGCUAAACUACAAAUUUCACCUCUGGGCCCUCGGAGGAAACGCUUUUAAAAGAUGUUCACGGGAACACUCGCUUA